AUUAUCGUAGUUUAAAAAAUAGCAAUACUAUUUUCUCUAACCAAAGUGAAAGCUUCGAAUUUUUUUCUCGAAGUAUGGGGUAUGUUGUUACACGGAACUUUCUGAUGAAUCAUUUCAUCGAUAAAACAGUGUUUUGCCUUUUUUGCCUGAUUUUUGCCUUAUCGCGCACUUAUUUUCCCUGCCAAUUUUUGCCUUUUUUGCCCUUAGCCAUUUUUGCCCUAUCGUGCGCUGAUUUUGCCCUGCCAAUUUUUGCCCAUCUGAUUUUUGCAUUUUUAAGGGUAAGUUUGGUUGCUUCUAUUAUUUCUUCAUGUGUGCAUGCAAAAAGUUAACGGAAUUCAAUUCAAUUGUGUUAGAUAUAGCAGCCAUCCUAUUUUAUUUUUUCCGAUUAUAUUGAUUAACAAUAUGAUCAUCGAAGUAAUAUGGCAAUCGUUAAAAAAAACUGUCGGGAAUUAGUUUUAGUAGUGAUAUAAAAAAUCCCGGCAAAACCAGGAGUUGGCGGUGUAUAUCUCUAUGUAGCAUCAUCAUCACUUCAUUCUCAACAAAUGCUUAUUCACAACAAAAUUAAAAAUCAAAGUUUAAUAAAAUUUGUUCUUAGUUACUAUUUAGUUCUACUUUCCGAUGUAGUCUUUUUCUUUGAAUACUUAAAAGCUUAAGCAUAAAUUGUUGUUGUUCUAUCUUGUUGUUCACUCGCCCUUGUUCACUUAGAAUGUCGAGACGAUUGAACACCGGUGAGUCCGACAAGAUAUGGCCGCCGUAUGGUCUUGUUCUUUUUAUUUCUACCAAAGAAGUCGGCGUGGUCCAGAGCAGCCAGGCUGUGGAGGAGAUGCGUGUUGGGGAGUACACUAACGUAAAUUGGUCAAGAAAGACCUAUAGAACCAAGGUGUUGGCAGUGGCAGGUAUGUAAACUCAUGUUCUGUGUCUUACGGUUAAUUUGGAUUCUUCUCGCUAUUCCGUUAUUUUGCAAUAGGAUUUGUUGACAGUGUAAUGUGUCCCCACGGUCGAUUUCUUGCUAUUGUUCUUUCACUAUCAUUUAGCGAAGGUAGCAUAUCCUUAUCAAAGGUUUUCAUUUCUACCUGAACGUAGAGAGCGGUACCAAGAAUUUCAGUGACGGCUCUGUCAACUUUCGAUUAGAGCGUGUUUUUCGUUCAGCCGAUCGACCUCAGGCUUUUGUUUUAGCCAAGCCAAUCACCGCACGUGUUAGUAUAUGCCAAUCAGCGCCCUCGACGGAAAUGUGUAAAGACCUAUCUAAUAUUAGCGUGGUAAAACGUUGCCUGACGUUUUCUUAUCGAAUUAAGAUGACAAGCUAAGUUUGAUGAGGCAGGAAGAUGGAUACAUCAAACUUAUUGAAGAUGGCAUGCUGCCAAGCCCAGAAGAUCUACACCAAAUACAACAAGUACCCCCGACCCCCCUUACUUUUACCCCCAAAUCAGGAAAAAUAGAUAAUAUCAACAAUAUGACCCUUCCCUCUGAAAGCUGUGAGGAGAAGCUGCUGCUCCUUUCUGAAAAAGUAGACAGCUGCAAUGCAGAUAUAAGUGUACUUCUGGAUAAAAUUAACAACAUGGAAACCACACAUCAUCGUAUAUUAGAUCUACUCAGCCACACUUACACACCCACACCUACUCCGCAAACCAUUUGAGCUGCUGUGCAAACAAUACCCAUUAUCAAAACAUCUGCAACUACACAAACCCCUCCAAUUGCCAGCACGACUGAUACAUCAACCUCACAAACCCCUCCAAUUGCCACCACACCAUCAUUAACCACACAGACCACCCUAAUUGCCACCACACCAUCAUUAACCACACAGACCACCCUAAUUGCCACCACACCAUCAUUAACCACACAGACCACCCUAAUUGCCACCACACCAUCAUUAACCACACAGACCACCCUAAUUGCCACCACACCAUCAUUAACCACACAGACCACCCUAAUUGCCACCACACCUGAAGCUUCAAUCACACAAACAACCACAAUUGCUACCACACCAUCUGCUGUUACACCAUCAACAUCAUUUACAGACAGCCUUCCUGAUAUACCGUUUCCCUUUUUCCCUGUAUUACCAUCAUAUUCAUCACUUAUGUUGGAUCCUUCACCACCUGAUCAUCAAGAUUCUUUUCACUUUCCUUCUUUUAAUAGCAGUAAUUGCUCUCCGCCAUCGCUAACGCUAACACCUCACAGCCCGCAAAAUACUUUACCAGAUGACACUUUUCUUUAUAACUUAGGUAGUAUUUGUAAGUCCAAGACUAAUUUUGCAGUAAAACUUCUUUUGUGUUUGUACCCAAA